GUCACUGGGGGUGGGCUUUGAAGUGUCAGAAGCUCAAGCUAGGUCCAAUGGCUCACUCUCUCUUCCUGCUGUCUGACAACCCAAAUGCAGAACUCUCAGCUCCUUCUCCAACACCAUGCCAUACUGCCAUGCUUCCCACAUGAUAAUGGACUAAACCUCUGAACUAUAAGCCAGCCCCAAUUAAAUAUUUUCCGUUAUAAGAGUUGACGUGGUCAUAGUGCCUCUUCACCUUAAGUAUAAUAUGUACACUAUUCACAUUAUACACACUAUAUACACUAUGUACAAUAUUCAAACCAUGUAUACUACACACACUAUGCACACUAUGUAUACUAUGCACACCAUGCUCACAUGCACACUAUACACACUAUGUAUACUAUACACACUAUGCCCACUAUGCACACUAUACACACUAUGCGCACUAUGCACACUAUGCACACCAUGUACACAUGCACACUAUGCCCACUAUGCG
rnacentral:lncRNA from 1 species